rnacentral:lncRNA from 1 species
CAAGACCCACAAGUCAGAGCCCGAACGAUCGACGACUCGUGGACCAUGUACAACUUCAUGCGCCGAACACCCGGGUAGCACAAAUGCCAAGUACCCCAGAGACCACUUGGAACGUCAAGUAACGUCGAACCGUGAAGACUCCGUGGUCAUCAAGUUCCUCGCUUGGCCCUGAACAUCUACGGAAACUUGUGCGACUAAGAACGUGAACCACUACCGUCGAACCCCGAAGGACUCGAAUUCGUCAAGUCCCCCUCCGAACCGGGAACCACUACUUCCACUACCAUCGCAGAGGACCGAUAGUACGACUACUUCCACUACGAAUGUUCCAAGAGCGCCUACUUCCUCUACUUCGCACUGAAUGAGAACCAUCCUGUUUGCACGCUUCGAAGGUAUAACUCCGAGAUGAACGCCCGUCAACGAAUGCUUGUGAUGUGUUGUAUGAGAUGCCUGUGUUUUCUCCAUGCCCGAAUUGAUCCUUGCACGUUCCUCGUUUCCUUGCCACCGAUUCGUGGGACACCCGGUAUUCGGGAUCACUCCCCGUACCUCUCACACAUUUCGCACAUCUCGCAUUUGUUUCUUGCACCGGCAUCUCAACUAGUUGUCGGAUCAUCGGAACGUUGUCGUGGCACCGUUUUCGUUAUCAUCGCCGUGACACCCUUUCUUUCCACCACAGUGACAAAUGCUUCAGAAUGCUCUUAUCAACUUUUUCAUAAAAAGAUUGCAUAAACUUGCAUACGCCAUCCGCAUCAUGAUAACAACAUUUAAAAUGGAUAAAAUUGUUGUUUGCAUUAAAUUGCUAAAUGCACAUGAGGAUUUACCGGAAUUGUUGUUUGAUGUUUCCGGCCUCAUUUAAAAUGCCUAACUGUGUAUUUUACUCAUGUUUCACCUCUUACCAUGUUUAACAACUUUUAAAAUUGUUGGGUACAUAAACGGGAGAGAACUAAAUUAUCGAUGUGGUGUUUUGUCAAUAUGUUAUGCACUUUGCCAUGCCAUGCCUCAUUAAACCGGACAUGCAUCAUACUCAGUUGUGCAUCAUGUCAUGUUGAUGUGAUGGUUGUUUAGUAUGAUUGCUUGCUUCUUUCCGGUUGCUUCUCGCGUUAGCUUCGGUUUCAUUCCGGAGUUGCGAGGAUUCGUUCCACUACGUCCGUUUGGCUUCAUCAUGGACUCGUUCUUCUUCCUUGCGGGAUCUCAGGCAAGAUGACCAUACCCUCGAUAUCACUUCUAUCUUUGCUUGCUAGUUGCUCGCUCUUUUGCUAUGCCGUGAUACCUACCACUUGCCUUAUCGUGCCUCCCAUAUUGCCAUGUCAAGCCUCUAACCCACCUUUCCUAGCAAACCAUUGUUUGGCUAUAUUACCGCAUUGCUCAGCCCCUCUUAUAGCGUUGCUAGUUGCAGGUGAAGAUGGAGUUUGUUCCAUGUUGGAACAUGGAUAUUGUUGGGAUAUCAUUACUAUUAUAUCGUAUUUACUUUAAUGCAUCUAUAUACUUGGUAAAGGGUGGAAGGCUCGGUCUUAUGCCUGGUUUUUUGUUCCACUCUUGCCACCCUAGUUUCUGUCAUACCGGUGUUAUGUUUCUCGAUUUUGCGUUCCUUACGCGGCUGGGUGUUAUGGGAACCCCUUGAUAGUUCGCUUUGAAUAAAACUCCUCCAGCAAGGCCCAACCUUGGUUUUACAUUUGCCUAACAACCUAUCACCUUUCCUUGGAUUCUGCAGACUCAAGGGUCAUCUUUUUUUAACCCCCUCCCCAGGACAGUGCUUGUCUAAGUGUUGUUCUGAACCAGAGCCACUUGCGGCGCCACCUCGAGGAAACUUGAGGGCUGGUUUUAGCUGUACGUAGUGUUCAUCCGGUGUUGCCCUGAGAACGAGAUAUGUGCAGCUCCUAUCAGGAUGUCGGUGCAUCGGGCGGUCUUGCUGGUCUUGUUUUCCCAUUGUCGAAAUGUCUUGUAACCGGGAUUCCGAGUCUGAUCGGGUCUUCCUGGGAGAAGGAAUAUCCUUCGUUGACCUUGAGAGCUUGUGAUGGGCUAAGUUGGGACACCCCUGCAGGGUUUGAACUUUCAAAAGUUGUGCCCACGGUUAUGGGCAGAUGGGAAUUUGUUAAUAUCCGAUUGUAGAGAACUUGACACUUAACUUAACUAAAAUGAAUCAACUGCGUGUGUAGCCGUGAUGGUGUCUUUUUGGCGGAGUCCGGGAAGUGAACACGGUUCUUGUGUUAUGCUUGAACGUAAGUAGUUUCAGGAUCACUUCAUGAUCAUCUUUAGCUUCUCGACCGUUUUUUGCUUCUCUUCUCGCUCUCUUUUGCGUAAGUUAGCCACCAUAUAUGCUAGUGCUUGCUACAGCUCCACCUCACUACCCUUUCCUACCCAUAAGCUUAAAUAGUCUUGAUCUCGCGGGUGUGAGAUUGUUGAGUCCUCGUGGCUCAUAUAUACUUCCAAACAGUUGCAGGUGCCGAUGAUACCAGUGCAAGUGACGCAACCCAGCUCACGUGGGAGCUCGAUGAAGAUCUUGAUCUUUCUUUUGUGUCUUUUCGGUUGAUCAGUAGUGGAGCCCAGUUGGGACGAUCGGGGAUCUAGCAUUUGGGGUUGUCUUUCUUUAUUUUGGUUCCGUAGUCGGACCUUGAUUGUAUUCAGGAUGAUGUAUGUUUAACUUGUAUUGUGUGAAGUGGCGAUUGUAAGCCAACUCUUUAUCCCUUUCUUUUCAGUACAUGGGAUGUGUAAAGAUUACCCCUCUUGCGACAUGCCUACCAUGCAGUUAUGCCUCUAAGUUGUGCCCCGACACGUGGGAGAUAUAGCCGCAUCGUGGGUGUUACAUAUGACAUAUUCGAC